CAGCAGCCGCGGGAAAACGGAGGGUGCAAGCGUUAAUCGGAAUUACUGGGCGUAAAGCGCACGCAGGCGGUUUGUUAAGUCAGAUGUGAAAUCCCCGGGCUCAACCUGGGAACUGCAUUUGAAACUGGCAAGCUAGAGUCUCGUAGAGGGGGGUAGAAUUCCAGGUGUAGCGGUGAAAUGCGUAGAGAUCUGGAGGAAUACCGGUGGCGAAGGCGGCCCCCUGGACAAAGACUGACGCUCAGGUGCGAAAGCGUGGGGAGCAAACAGGAUUAGAUACCCGCGUAGUCCCUGUCUCUUAUAC
rnacentral:rRNA from 1 species